rnacentral:rRNA from 1 species
UCCUUCGGGAGNNUCUUAAUNGCGAACGGGUGAGUAACACGUGGGCAAUCUGCCCUUCACUCUGGGACAAGCCCUGGAAACGGGGUCUAAUACCGGAUACGACCUCCGACCGCAUGGUCUGGUGGUGGAAAGCUCCGGCGGUGAAGGAUGAGCCCGCGGCCUAUCAGCUUGUUGGUGGGGUGAUGGCCUACCAAGGCGACGACGGGUAGCCGGCCUGAGAGGGCGACCGGCCACACUGGGACUGAGACACGGCCCAGACUCCUACGGGAGGCAGCAGUGGGGAAUAUUGCACAAUGGGCGAAAGCCUGAUGCAGCGACGCCGCGUGAGGGAUGACGGCCUUCGGGUUGUAAACCUCUUUCAGCAGGGAAGAAGCGAGAGUGACGGUACCUGCANAAGAAGCGCCGGCUAACUACGUGCCAGCAGCCGCGGUAAUACGUAGGGCGCAAGCGUUGUCCGGAAUUAUUGGGCGUAAAGAGCUCGUAGGCGGCUUGUCACGUCGGAUGUGAAAGCCCGGGGCUUAACCCCGGGUCUGCAUUCGAUACGGGCAGGCUAGANUUCGGUAGGGGAUAUCGGAAUUCCUGGUGUAGCGGUGAAAUGCGCAGAUAUCANGANNNANACCGGUGGCGAAGGCGGAUCUCUGGGCCGAUACUGACCCUGAGNANCNAAAGCGUGGGGAG